rnacentral:rRNA from 1 species
AUUGAACGCUGGCGGCAUGCCUUACACAUGCAAGUCGAACGGUAACAGGUCUUCGGAUGCUGACGAGUGGCGAACGGGUGAGUAAUACAUCGGAACGUGCCCGAUCGGGGGGGAUACCUACUCGAAAGAGUAGCUAAUACCGCAUACGAUCUACGGCUGAAAGCCGGGGAUCUUCGGAACUCGUGCGGACGGAGCGGCCGAUGGCAGAUUAGGUAGUUGGUGGGAUAAAAGCUUACCAAGCCGACGAUCUGUAGCUGGUCUGAUAGGACGACCAGCCACACUGGGACUGAGAGACGGCCCAGACUCCUACGGGAGGCAGCAGUGGGGAAUUUUGGACAAUUGGCGAAAGCCUGAUCCAGCAAUGCCGCGUGCAGGAUGAAGGCCUUCGGGUUGUAAACUGCUUUUGUACGGAACGAAAAGACUCCUUCUAAUACAGGUGGUCCAUGACGGUACCGUAAGAAUAAGCACCGGCUAACUACGUGCCAGCCGCCGCAGUAAUAC